UAUCGGUCAGAUCAAGUCAUAAAAACAUUCAGUAGGCUUUAAAUACAAACGGGCACCUCUGUCGAUACUUACUCACACGACAUAGCCUGCGGCAAUGUCCGACUCAAUGAUUUACAGUCGAUGCAAAUGACUUAGCCAGUUAAAACAAAUGCAAAAUAACUCCGAUAUCGAUGUUAACAAUUUAGCUAAAAAUAAUCCAAAAUAAGCCAUCGAUUUGAUGUCUCAUGAUUGACCGGUCACGCGAUAACGAAAGUACAUCCCCAUUGAAUUCGGUUCUGUGGCCCACUUCAAAAGGUGAGGAGGCCCUUUCCUGUCAGGCUCAGCAGGAGGUUGCAUACUAAUGCUCUACCUGCCUGUUAGAAGUGCAGACAGCUGACCUGAGAACAGAAGGUAGAGAACACAUGUCACGCCAUAGGUAUCAAAGUCCACUGGCCCAGCACUUCAGCAAGCCUCACAUCAUGACGGGGAGCAGGCUGGUGAGUGAGUCAUUUGCAUUUUAGGUGGAGGAGCUAGAAAAUGUUUGAAUGAAUUAAAAACAAUGAGUCAUCAUGAAUAAUUUCCCCCAGCACAUGAGAAAACCAGCAAACCAGAUCGUUGUGAUCAGUGUGUCUCCUCAUCAAACAAAAUCCUCUCAAAUCUGCACAGGCAGACCUCCGCCCCGUGUCAUCGGAGGCCAGCCGGCUUAUACUGUCCAUCGGAUACUGGGUGCAGCGGUCCUGGCAGUAUCUGGUGGACUGGGAAGGCUACAGUCCCGAGGAGCGCUCCUAGGUUCCUGCCAAAGACAUACUGGACCCUGACCUCAUUCGACAGUUCAGGGCCCUCCACCCCGAGAAAGCUGGACAAUGACCCAACACACUUCCAGGCUGUGUAAGGGCUAUUUGACCAAGGAGGAGAGUCAUGGAGUGCUGCAUCAGAUGACCUGGUCUCCACAAUCCCCCGACCUCAACCCAAUUGAGAUGGUUUGGGAUAAGACCGCAGAGUGAAAGAAAAGCAACCAACAAGUGCUCAGCAUAUGUGGGAACUCCUUCAAGACUGUUGGAAAAGCAUUCCAGGUGAAGCUGGUUGAGAGAAUGCUAAGAGUGUGCAAAUCUGUCAUCAAGGCAAAAGGUGGCUACUUUGAAGAAUCUGAAAUAUAAAAUAUAUUUUGAUUUGUUAAACACUUUUUUGGUUACUACAUGAUUCCAUAUGUGUUAUUUCAUAGUUUUGAUGUCUUCACUAUUAUUCUACAAUGUAGAAAAUAGUCAAAUUAAAGAAAAACCCUUGAAUGAGUAGGUGUGUCCAAACUUUUGACUGGUACUGUAUAUAUACAACUCAAGAAAAUAACCUUUUUUGACUGCAGCUAGGCCAUUCCACUAAUUCGGUGCCUUUUAAGAAGUGUAAGGUGGUUAUUUCACCUAUUAAAACAAUUAUGUCAUAAAGAGCAAAUGUUCAACUUAAUAAAAAAAUUGUUUUCCCAUCUAAAUUGGUUAAAUAAAAUUUAAAAAAUGCUAUAGUAAAUGCCUUUUAAGUGCCAAAUAAAGUAACAUGGUUGAUUAUAAGGUUGAUGAGUUCAUGUUAAAUCAGCCAUAAAUCCCCUUGUGACAGGGUGAAUGGAAGCUUGUGUGCAACAGGGAGUGGUAAUUAAAUGCAAGCUUCACAAAAAAAAAUGUAAUUGUUAAAACAAUUGUAGCCUGUCUACAGUAGGUUGGUUGGAUGUGUUAAUUAUGAUUAAAU
ensembl:lncRNA